UACGUAGGGUGCGAGCGUUAAUCGGAAUUACUGGGCGUAAAGCGUGCGCAGGCGGUUUUGUAAGCCAGAUGUGAAAGCCCCGGGCUUAACCUGGGAAUGGCAUUUGGGACUGCAAGGCUUGAGUGCGGCAGAGGAGACUGGAAUUCCUGGUGUGGCAGUGAAAUGCGUAGAUAUCAGGAGGAAUACCGAUGGCGAAGGCAGGUCUCUGGGCUGACACUGACGCUCAUGCACGAAAGCGUGGGGAGCAAACAGG
rnacentral:rRNA from 1 species